CAAAAAGUUUUUUUAAAAACUACUAAAUCUUCUUAAUCCAGUCUAU
rfam:Homo sapiens chromosome 20, GRCh38 reference primary assembly.